rnacentral:misc_RNA from 1 species
CAUGUUGUUUUCACCAUAUGUUGAAGUUGAAAUUAUUUCCUGAGAGUUUGCUAUGCUCAUGGGAUUAAUCAAACCAUAAUUAUGUCGACUCUGGUAGUGCCUUUGUAAGAUUACAUAGAAAUCACCUGUUACAAGGGCUGGAAAUUGACAUUUCAAAUUUAUAAUCAUGCAUUAUGGAAUUUGGAUUCUCUUGAGCCAUGAGGGUAGUAAGUUCUAUCGAAGACUGAUCUUCUACAGAGAAGUUCUCUUGUGGAAUGGAUUACUUACUAGACAAAUGCAGUAGAAUUUGGAGGUUGCCGACUUCGUGGAGGUGUUUAUGCUCCUGUGAAAUUAAACUAAUGGGGGGAAGUUACACUGUGGAGAACUUUCAUAAAAGAGGUUGGACAUGUUGAACACCACCUAGACAAAACAGCCUCAAGCCAUUGGUUAGUGGGUCUUCCUAGGUUUGUGGCCCACAUUUGGUCACUACUUGUCAAUAUGGAUUCCUUCUGAGACAUGUAUAACAAACAAUGAUAGAUUUGGAAUAUGGAAUUUUUGGAAAAAUCUCCCAUCUAACAUUCAUUAGGAUUAAGGAUUAGUAGGAGUUCCAUUUAUGUUUGAUAUGAAAUAAGAGGAAUGAUCACAUUUUAGUCUUUUCAAAUUUCAAAAAUCAAUCAUGUAGCAUAAUUGUGUUUUGGACAUCAUGAUUCAAGUUUUGACAUGUUUCAGAAUGCAAGACCUAGUGCGGAGAACCUCCCAGAGGAUUUAGCAAUGAUUGUGACCUCAUGUUGGCAAGAGGAUCCAAAUGCUCGACCCAAUUUCAGUCAGAUUAUACAGAUGCUCCUGCACUAUCUUUCUACCAUUUCACCGCCAGUACCUGUAAACCCUGCUCGGAUAUUUACUUCUGAGAAUGCGGUACUGCCACCAGAGUCUCCUGGCACAAGUUCUUUAAUGGCUGUUAGAGAUAACUCAGGGGAAACCACAAAGGCCCAGAUGGAAGACAAACCAAGAGGUUUCUUUUUCUGCUUUAACCAGUGUUACUGAUCCCUCUAAAGGCACAAAUUCGUCUAUGGAGGUACUUUAGGCAAGCUUAAUAAACAAUAGUCUGAAAUAUUAGGAAAUACAUCUUGAUAAGAAAAUGUCAAUCUAGUUAGUUCAGUUGCAAUAGGAAGCUACCUAGUAUCUGAUGUCUCCAUUAACUUUCCAUACUCCAUUGCAUGGAAAUCAGUUUGUUCUGACCAAAUUCACCUGGAGUUGGGAUUUUGCUGUGACGUAUAUCAUCAUUAUUGUAAAAUAAGGUCCAUCCAAAGGCCUUUACUCCUGUUGAUAAUCAUGAAUCUAAAUGAGUUUUGUUAGAAUCACCAUCACUAUUCAUUUCUGGGAAAUGUUUGCAUUCA